UCAUCUUCGGGGGUAGAGCACUGUUUCGGCUAGGGGGUCAUCCCGACUUACCAACCCGAUGCAAACUACGAAUACCGAAGAAUGUUAUCACGGGAGACACACGGCGGGUGCUAACGUCCGUCGUGAAGAGGGAAACAACCCAGACCGCCAGCUAAGGUCCCAAAGUCAUGGUUAAGUGGGAAACGAUGUGGGAAGGCACAGACAGCCAGGAUGUUGGCUUAGAAGCAGCCAUCAUUUAAAGAAAGCGUAAUAGCUCACUGGUCGAGUCGGCCUGCGCGGAAGAUGUAACGGGGCUAAACCAUGCACCGAAGCUGCGGCAGCGACACUAUGUGUUGUUGGGUAGGGGAGCGUUCUGUAAGCCUGCGAAGGUGACCUGUGAGGGUUGCUGGAGGUAUCAGAAGUGCGAAUGCUGACAUAAGUAACGAUAAAGCGGGUGAAAAGCCCGCUCGCCGGAAGACCAAGGGUUCCUGUCCAACGUUAAUCGGGGCAGGGUGAGUCGACCCCUAAGGCGAGGCCGAAAGGCGUAGUCGAUGGGAAACAGGUUAAUAUUCCUGUACUUGGUGUUACUGCGAAGGGGGGACGGAGAAGGCUAUGUUAGCCGGGCGACGGUUGUCCCGGUUUAAGCAUGUAGGCUGGUUAUCCAGGCAAAUCCGGAUAAUCAAGGCUGAGGUGUGAUGACGAGGCACUACGGUGCUGAAGUAACAAAUGCCCUGCUUCCAGGAAAAGCCUCUAAGCAUCAGGUAACAUCAAAUCGUACCCCAAACCGACACAGGUGGUCAGGUAGAGAAUACCAAGGCGCUUGAGAGAACUCGGGUGAAGGAACUAGGCAAAAUGGUGCCGUAACUUCGGGAGAAGGCACGCUGGUGUGUAGGUGAAGUCCCUGCGGAUGGAGCUGAGACCAGUCGAAGAUACCAGCUGGCUGCAACUGUUUAUUAAAAACACAGCACUGUGCAAACACGAAAGUGGACGUAUACGGUGUGACGCCUGCCCGGUGCCGGAAGGUUAAUUGAUGGGGUUAUCCGUAAGGAGAAGCUCUUGAUCGAAGCCCCGGUAAACGGCGGCCGUAACUAUAACGGUCCUAAGGUAGCGAAAUUCCUUGUCGGGUAAGUUCCGACCUGCACGAAUGGCGUAAUGAUGGCCAGGCUGUCUCCACCCGAGACUCAGUGAAAUUGAACUCGCUGUGAAGAUGCAGUGUACCCGCGGCAAGACGGAAAGACCCCGUGAACCUUUACUAUAGCUUGACACUGAACAUUGAGCCUUGAUGUGUAGGAUAGGUGGGAGGCUUUGAAGCGUGGACGCCAGUCUGCGUGGAGCCAACCUUGAAAUACCACCCUUUAAUGUUUGAUGUUCUAACGUUGGCCCCUGACCGGGGUUGCGGACAGUGUCUGGUGGGUAGUUUGACUGGGGCGGUCUCCUCCCAAAGCGUAACGGAGGAGCACGAAGGUUAGCUAAUCCUGGUCG
rnacentral:rRNA from 1 species